CAUUAAGACUAUUUAAUGAAAUAAUUGUAAGUUUUGGUGAGCAAGUCCCACAGGAAGUCAGCAAAAUAUCUCAAACAGAGAAAAAAACAGGUUUUCUCUUCUCCCAAUACAUAUUUUUCUUAUUAAAAUUACUUAGACAUAUAUACACAUAUGUAAGAGUGGACCAAAUGUGUCAUCAUGUACUGAUAGCUGCAGCUCUAGCAAUGCAAAGUUACCAAACUAGACACUUAUAGCCAGGGAAUUUCUUGAA